GACAGAGGGUGCAAACGUUGUUCGGAAUUACUGGGCGUAAAGCGUGUGUAGGCGGCUAUGUAAGUCGGAUGUGAAAGCCCCGGGCUCAACCCGGGAAGUGCACUCGAUACUGCGUAGCUUGAGUCUCGGAGAGGUUGGUGGAAUUCUCGGUGUAGAGGUGAAAUUCGUAGAUAUUAGGAAGAACACCGGUGGCGAAGGCGGCCCACUGGUCCGGUACUGACGCUGAGGUGCGAAAGCGUGGGGAGCAAACAGG
rnacentral:rRNA from 1 species